GUGCCUGUAGCUCAGUAGGAUAGAGCAACGGACUUCGAAUCCGUGUGUCGGAGGUUCGAUUCCUCUCAGGCACG
rfam:Candidatus Margulisbacteria bacterium GWE2_39_32 gwe2_scaffold_1647, whole genome shotgun sequence.